GGGGGCUGCGGGCAGAAACCCAACUCACCCGAUGUACGUGGCGGAGCUCUUCCCCUCCCCGGUGAAGACGCAUCUGGCGGCGAGCUUGUCCGCGUACCGCACUUCCAACCGUGAGCGCAGAACACAAAUCACCUGCGGUAGCUGGGGAGACUGCCGUCCAAUCAGAGUCCACUUUCCAUCUCGAACCCGAUACCCACUCACUACUUGACCUGCAAAAAAAUAAAAAUAAU